AACCCACUCCUCCUAGUCCUCCUCUUCUGAUUGGUUGCUUGUACACUUUUUACAUCUUUAUGGCAUGGAUUCUUCUGUCCACAUGACUUUUUAAAGCGGCCAAAACCGCUUCUCUUUUAUUCAAAAUUAAAAUGAUUUAGAUGUUGUUAAUAAUCAAACAACAUUCAGAGAGACAGAGCCACUUUUCUACAUAUCAGUUUAAAACAACAAAAAAAUAGUCUUUUCAUUGUUUGCUUUUUGCUGAGGCAAUGAAAGAAGGUAAACAAAGUAAAUUAACUUUACAGAGACAGUCCCUGGGCUGAAAAAUUCCAGGUCCACAACUGCAUCAGACCUCUAAUAGGGCAGAUCUCAAAUACUUCAUCCCCUUUCAAGAUAUAAAGCAUCAUCAUCUUCAUCAUGAAUAUUCAGAUCUCUAUGAUGCCAGGAUUUAUGCUCAGGUGUCUGUAUUUAUACAGAAGUGGCAUGAAACAGUUGACUUUCAGGAAAUGGCCCAAGCAUUGACGCUUAUCAAAUUCAGGAAAGAGGGGAGUUUACAAAACAAAACUGACUCCGUCAAAAAUGUCCUUGGCUCAUGAGGAAAAAAAUGAUACCCAGUUGGUCAAAAAGUCACAUUUUUGUGUGGUUGUAAUUCUUAUGAAAAAAGCAGCAAUAAUCCUUUAAAAUAUGACUUUCAAAUAUCCUUUUGAGAAUAUUGAAAUCAAUUAAACAAUAAAUAUAUUCUCAUUUAUAAAAGAAAUCA
rnacentral:lncRNA from 1 species